GCCUCCCCUAGAGGCUUUGCAGGUAUAUUUUGCUCUGUCACAUGUGUGUCAGUAGGUGGCAGAGAGAAGAGAAGUUAUGUCUAUGCUCAGUGUUCUGACCUGUGAACAUCUGAAUGAUUAGUAACCUAAUAGU